GACGAACGCUGGCGGCGUGCUUAACACAUGCAAGUCGAGCGGUAAGGCCCUUUCGGGGGUACGACGAGCGGCGAACGGGUGAGUAACACGUGGGUGACCUGCCCUCAGCUCUGGGAUAAGCCUGGGAAACUGGGUCUAAUACUGGAUAUGACUCCACGGUGCAUGUCGUGGGGUGGAAAGCCUUGUGCGGCUGAGGAUGGGCCCGCGGCCUAUCAGCUUGUUGGUGGGGUGANGGCCUACCAAGGCGACGACGGGUAGCCGGCCUGAGAGGGCGACCGGCCACACUGGGACUGAGACACGGCCCAGACUCCUACGGGAGGCAGCAGUGGGGAAUCUUGCGCAAUGGGCGAAAGCCUGACGCAGCGACGCCGCGUGAGGGA
rnacentral:rRNA from 1 species